rnacentral:rRNA from 1 species
CGUGCUUAACACAUGCAAGUCGAACGGAAAGGCCCUGCUUUUGUGGGGUGCUCGAGUGGCGAACGGGUGAGUAACACGUGAGUAACCUGCCCUUGACUUUGGGAUAACUUCAGGAAACUGGGGCUAAUACCGGAUAGGAGCUCCUGCUGCAUGGUGGGGGUUGGAAAGUUUCGGCGGUUGGGGAUGGACUCGCGGCUUAUCAGCUUGUUGGUGGGGUAGUGGCUUACCAAGGCUUUGACGGGUAGCCGGCCUGAGAGGGUGACCGGCCACAUUGGGACUGAGAUACGGCCCAGACUCCUACGGGAGGCAGCAGUGGGGAAUAUUGCACAAUGGGCGGAAGCCUGAUGCAGCAACGCCGCGUGCGGGAUGACGGCCUUCGGGUUGUAAACCGCUUUCGCCUGUGACGAAGCGUGAGUGACGGUAAUGGGUAAAGAAGCACCGGCUAACUACGUGCCAGCAGCCGCGGUGAUACGUAGGGUGCGAGCGUUGUCCGGAUUUAUUGGGCGUAAAGGGCUCGUAGGUGGUUGAUCGCGUCGGAAGUGUAAUCUUGGGGCUUAACCCUGAGCGUGCUUUCGAUACGGGUUGACUUGAGGAAGGUAGGGGAGAAUGGAAUUCCUGGUGGAGCGGUGGAAUGCGCAGAUAUCAGGAGGAACACCAGUGGCGAAGGCGGUUCUCUGGGCCUCUCCUGACGCUGAGGAGCGAAAGCGUGGGGAGCGAACAGGCUUAGAUACCCUGGUAGUCCACGCUGUAAACGGUGGGUACUAGGUGUGGGGUCCAUUCCACGGGUUCCGUGCCGUAGCUAACGCUUUAAGUACCCCGCCUGGGGAGUACGGCCGCAAGGCUAAAACUCAAAGGAAUUGACGGGGCCCCGCACAAGCGGCGGAGCAUGCGGAUUAAUUCGAUGCAACGCGUAGAACCUUACCUGGGUUUGACAUGGAUCGGGAGUGCUCAGAGAUGGGUGUGCCUCUUUUGGGGUCGGUUCACAGGUGGUGCAUGGCUGUCGUCAGCUCGUGUCGUGAGAUGUUGGGUUAAGUCCCGCAACGAGCGCAACCCUUGUUCACUGUUGCCAGCACGUUAUGGUGGGGACUCAGUGGAGACCGCCGGGGUCAACUCGGAGGAAGGUGGGGAUGACGUCAAGUCAUCAUGCCCCUUAUGUCCAGGGCUUCACGCAUGCUACAAUGGCUGGUACAGAGAGUGGCGAGCCUGUGAGGGUGAGCGAAUCUCGGAAAGCCGGUCUCAGUUCGGAUUGGGGUCUGCAACUCGACCUCAUGAAGUCGGAGUCGCUAGUAAUCGCAGAUCAGCAACGCUGCGGUGAAUACGUUCCCGGGGCUUGUACACACCGCCCGUCAAGUCAUGAAAGUUGGUAACACCCGAAGCCGGUGGCCUAACCGUUGUGGGGGAGCCGUCGAAGGUGGGACUGGUGAUUAG